UGGAGCUGUGAAGACCAGGCCUGCAAGUGAUGGAACUUUCCAGAAGUGGGCACCUGUGGUGGUACAUUCUAGAGAGGAGCAGAAAUACACAUGUCAUAUGCAGCCUGAGGGGCUGCCUGAGCUCCUCAUCCUGAGAUGGGCUUGAGAGAGCUGCCUUGUGUGGGACAGGACUGGUGAGACAUGAAUUAUUCACACUUCUGCUUUACUUCUCUGUGGACUCUUGACUUCUUUUCUUCCAAAUGGUCUCCGAAUAUCUCUGUGCUGCUCUCAGUUUAAUAAUUAUAUGAAGUAGGGGGAAGAGUCCAUUUCCAAGCAUAUGCCCACCCCUCCGCCAUACUCUCUGCACCCCAGACCUGUGGUUCCCUACCCCUAGACCACCUUUCCUUUUCCAGGGGAGAUGGAGCUAAGAACUCUCCCUCCCUAUCCUUGAUCAUGGACUUCUUAGCCUCCAGAACUGUGAAAAAUAAAUUUCUGUUGUUUAAGCCA